rnacentral:snRNA from 1 species
GCUAAGGAUUUGCAUUCUCA